UGCUAUCAUCUUUUAUUCACAAUUAAAACGCCAAUAUUUACAAUAACUGGAAACUCGAGUCUGGGUGGGUGAGUUGCCAGCGCGUGACAUUUGUUGGGGGAAAAACAUCGAGUAGCGGAGAUUUAAUGGCAGUGACGUUGAGGCUGUGAUGGAGGGAGGGUGUACGUGAUUUCCUCUCGCCUAUCCCACGAGCCUGAGAAUAACGGGAAGGGAGACUUAGAUAUAUGUAAAUGAAUGAAAAAUGAAUAGAUAAAUGAAGAGAGAAAUGAUGAUAAUGCGAAAGAAAAAUAAGAAAUAAACUCGAAUGAAAAGAAUGAAAAGAAUGACGAGGAAAAACUGUGGAAUAUAUUGAAAGAAAAUGAUAGAAAUGAAAUAAAUGAAAAGGAAGAAGAAUAUGUAAAAGAGUAAAAAAAGAAUGUAGAAAAAUGACGGAAGUGGUUGAAAAGUAAUAAAACUGAUGAAAUAAAAAGAAAAAAGAAAAAAAGAUGAUAUACAAACCUUGAAAUAAUAAAUAAUGGAAUGAAUUUUUAAAGAAGUGAAC